AAUCAUGAAUAUUUAAAAUUCAAAUAUUUAUACUUACAAUGUUUUUCAGUUUCAAUCAUCAGAAUUAAACGCAAUACUCUACAAAAUCAUGCUUGUCAGUUGUCAUCAGAAAACUGUUAUAUGUAACUCUUCGGCUGUCGAUUUUGUGGAAUCAAAAUAUUUUCCUCGAUAUUAUUUCGGAUGAAAUUAAAGGAUAAUAAAAUUAUGCUAAAAACUAAAUUUUAUAUCCGUCAAUAAUUUGUUCACGAAGAAAA